rnacentral:lncRNA from 1 species
UUAGAGCCACUUCAAUGCACUACACACUCCGCCGAACUUCUCCGUAUAACCUCCAAAACAAUAAACAGUUCCCUCACUUGGAUGGCCAUAUCAAUAUCAAUAAUCUGCUACUCCGUGGUAAUACUCGAGCAUACCAAAACACUUACUCAAAGCUACCGUCCUACCCGACCAAGCCCUUUGCUGGCUCGAAUAGUCCAUUGAACAGAGGGUUUUGGGGCCCAGUUCAGCCGGCGUGAUAAAGUACACACACGGCUUACAGUCAUGCACACUUACAAUAUCACUUGAUCAAUUAUCAAUCUUCAAGCUCAACUAAGCCAAGUGCGAUAAAGUACACCCUCGACUUAGAAGGCGAGGGACAAUUGAGAUACACUUCCAAUGAAUCACUUAGCAAUAUUUCAUAAUAAGCACAUUUGCCAUAUAAUUGCACUUAGGUACACAUAAGCAGUUUAACACAUAAAUUCGGAAAACACUCACCAAUUAUCCAAGUAAAUUACUCUUGAGCCUCGGGUUUGUUUCUUGGCUCACAGCUACAUCCUGGACAAGUUAAUAAUUCCAAAUCAACUACAUAGUUUGUAGAUGUUCACUUAUUGUUCUUACUUUAUCACUUGGACUAUUAAAAUCAAGUUUGACUUUAAAGUAUAAAAUAUAACAUAUUCAAUGUUCAUGUAUCAUUUUAUUUUGAAACUUAUUGACUUUAUUGUUUUAAUCAAGAAUUAUACCUGUUUUCCCAAGUUAAUAAUUCAUAAGAUAUUUAUUUUAGGAUUUAAAUCAUUUUCCACUCAAGAUUCCAAAAUUAAGGUUUAGAAGUAUUCCCUUGGUUCCUUUUUAAUUAAUUAGACUCUAAGUUAUUUGGAAAUUAAGUUUUAUUCCACUAUACCAGUCCCUCAAUUUAAUAGCCUUUAAAAAUAUUCGUGAAAACAAUAUUAAAUAAUUAGAAGCCACUUUACGUAUAUAACUAUCGUGACUUUUCACUCAAUUGCCUUAGUCUAACUCUACUCGUGGAACUAGGUAUAGCGAUUAAAUCUCAACACAAUGGUAGCUAUCAUUUAUGAAAGCUUACAAGAUUGGAAAUUAGAAGAAAUGUUAGUUAAAAGUUGAUUUCCUCAUGGCCAUUAUCAAAGCUGCAUGCAUGCGAAACAAAAGGAAAGGCAACGAGGAAGGCAGCUUUACCAUCCUCUGGUAUUUCAAUCAUAACUAGAGCUAUGCUUAUCGAAUUGAGGCGAACUUUAUAGCGUUUCGAAGCUAAAAUAUAGACCUACAUUUCUUGUGAAGACACUAACAUCCAGUUCUCACAUUUUCAUAGUAAAAAAUGGCCAGACAGAAGCCCAUCCUGCUUCACUCACUCAGCUGUGAAGCAAUUAACAACGCAGUUCAUAGUUUUUCCUCCCUAAUUUCUUUCAGUUUUGUUCAUUAAAUUCCACAUGCAAAGGUUGGUUAUCAAACUACAGAGUACCAUCAGCAUGAAUACAAGUUUAUAGCCAAGGGAAAUCAGAACAAUACUGGUUCAGCUCACGAUCUUCUUCCUUCUGCAUUUUUUUCCAGAAUUGUUGCAGCAAUCACUCAACACUAUUU